UACGUAGGGUGCGAGCGUUGUCCGGAAUUAUUGGGCGUAAAGAGCUCGUAGGCGGUCUGUCGCGUCGAUCGUGAAAACUUGGGGCUUAACCCUGAGCUUGCGGUCGAUACGGGCAUGACUGGAGUUCGGCAGGGGAGACUGGAAUUCCUGGUGUAGUGGUGAAAUGCGCAGAUAUCAGGAGGAACACCGGUGGCGAAGGCGGAUCUCUGGGCCGUAACUGACGCUGAGGAGCGAAAGCGUGGGGAGCGAACAGG
rnacentral:rRNA from 1 species